CUGGGAUUGUCUACAAAGGCA
rnacentral:siRNA from 1 species